UGCGUAGGUGGUCGGGUAAGUCUGAUGUGAAAUCUCCGAGCUUAACUCGGAAAUGGCAUUGGAUACUAUUCGGCUAGAGGGUUUGAGGGGGGACUGGAAUACUUGGUGUAGCAGUGAAAUGCGUAGAUAUCAAGUGGAACACCAGUGGCGAAGGCGAGUCCCUGGAAAACUCCUGACACUGAGGCACGAAAGCUAGGGGAGCAAACA
rnacentral:rRNA from 1 species